GUAGACUUUGAGACCGGUUUAAAUAGAACAAGCGGGAAUUUUAUCCGGAUUUAGUAUAUAUAUAUAUAUAUGUGUGUGUAUAUAUGUAUAUGCAAGUGUGGUGAGUCUCUGUGUUUAAUGGUAGGAAUUGUGAAAGCUUUUAGUUGAUGUUUUUUUGAAGACUGCAUUGCAAAGUCCUCAGAUUUACCUCCGACCUCAGAAACCCAGAGAAUCGGUGAGUCCGGAGGAGAUCAAAGUGAGCUGCAGGUCUCCCAUCUCUUACGCAGUCCAGGCGGCAACGAACGUGUUGAGAAACGUGUCACAAGAAGACUGUGACUGGAAGAUGUGAGGCUCUGAGGUCCACGGCUGCACCAGACACACAGAGAGACAGAGAGGAGGAGAGAGAGAGAGA